AGAGUUGAUUCUGGCUCAGGAUGAACGCUAGCGACAGGCUUAACACAUGCAAGUCGAGGGGCAUCACGGGAGGUAGCAAUACAACUGGUGGCGACCGGCGCACGGGUGAGUAACGCGUAUGCAACCUACCUAUCAGAGGGGAAUAACCCGGCGAAAGUCGGACUAAUACCGCAUAAAACAGGGGCACCGCAUGGUGAUAUUUGUUAAAGAAAUUCGCUGAUAGAUGGGCAUGCGUUCCAUUAGGUAGUUGGUGAGGUAACGGCUCACCAAGCCGACGAUGGAUAGGGGAACUGAGAGGUUGGUCCCCCACACUGGUACUGAGACACGGACCAGACUCCUACGGGAGGCAGCAGUGAGGAAUAUUGGUCAAUGGGCGGGAGCCUGAACCAGCCAAGUCGCGUGAAGGAAAGAAGGAUCUAUGGUUUGUAAACUUCUUUUGCAGGGGAAUAAAGUGCAGGACGUGUCCUGUUUUGUAUGUACCCUGAGAAUAAGGAUCGGCUAACUCCGUGCCAGCAGCAGC
rnacentral:rRNA from 1 species